UUCUGCCCUCACCCUGUUGUUUUAAUUUUCUUGGCUUUUUUCUUCUAAACUAUUCACUGUCAAAACCGUUAUCUUGGCCAGAUAAAAGGUGUAAAGGCUUGACCAGGGUAUGUAAAAUGGGUGGCGGCGGGACUUGAAUGUAGAUUUUUAUUUGUUUUGAUACCACAUAGAACUACCUUGUCUGAAAGCCAGAUGAGAUGGUUCAAGGUCAACUUGGUAUUUGGUUCCCCUCUCUUGCCAGUGAUUACAGUGAGCUCAUCAUAUACAUAUUUUAAGAGUGGAAGGCAGUGAGAGUGUUGUUGACAGAAGAUAGAGAGCACAGAUGAUGAAGUGCUUGAAAUUGGCCCGCAUCUCACUCCUUUGUGCUCUCUAUUCUUCUGUCAUCACCCCUCAACCCCAUCUUCCGUAAAUGUAUUUUGCACUGUUUUUGUUCAAAUUCAUGAUAAUUCCUCAAGCCAAAUAGAAUGUUAUGUUAGCUUGUUUCUGGAGGUGAAAUUCAUAGAUUAAUUUUAUUAGCUAUUCCGGGACAGAAAAGGAAAAGAAAAAAAACCACUUGUUAUCUUUUGUAUCAACUUGAUUAUUAUUCUCUCUCCCUUCUUAUCCUAUACUCCAGUGAGUCCCUCUCUUCCAGAUUGAGUUGGAGAGUAAUUUUUUGGCAAAUCUAGUUAGGACUUUAUCUAUAAGUCCUUGUCUUCUUCUACUAGCUAGUAGAAUAAUUUGGUGAUUCGAAAAAACCUGGCUUGCUUGUCGCAAUUAAGUUGUGUUUGCAAAUUGCAGCCAAACAUAUGGAAUCCCUUGCACAUAUCUUUGCUAUGUUCAAUUGGGCACUGGUAAUUGUAAGUCAAUACACAUUUUACUAUUUAAUGCUUUAUAUUUAUCUUCUGAAUUUGCUACCUGUUAAUCUUCAUUUACCAACAUAUUUUUAUAGGGUUUAGUUAUUUAUUUUGUACUGAUACUCGGUGAAUUCGAUUCAUCUUCAUAAGUCAUCUGCAUUAACAACUUUCUAAAUUAUUUCAAUGGUCGUAGAUUAAUUAAUCUCGAAUUAAUAAUGUUAAUUACUGUUUAUAUCACACUUCAGGCUAUUGAAUAAUAUUAAUUUGCACAUAUGUUGAAGAAAUCCCUACAAAGCCCUACAAUUUACUAACUUAGGUACCUUGGAGAUUCAUUUUCUUGGGGAUUCUAUAAAAACCUAAACUAAUAUUAUUUCUUGCGUUUCCAUUUCUUACAGGAGAUUGAAGAAUAGAAUGAGAGAAAACAAAGAGAUGGGAACCCUCACAAAUGGCUCACACACAAACUGUGUGAAGAAAAUGGCCAAGUGUGCCUUUUAUAUGCCACCACAAAACCACAGAUUCAACGUCAGUAUUCGGCCACGUGUAAGGCCAAAUUGCACCAAAAUACAAGUCAAAAGUUGCAUUUCAAGAAAUGCACCUUUUCAAAAUAAUAGAAAGGUCCAAGUCAAAAAUGCGAGGCAAAUUUCAACCUGUAUGUUUCUAAAGAGUCAUGUUGAGUUUGCGAUAUUGUAUUAAUCAGGAGAAAAUUUAGGCGUAACUCUCGUAUGUUGUGAAGAGAUGUAAGACGUCUUAUCUGCAGUCUACGACUUGAGGAUUAUUGUAUCUGUUGAGCCGCAAAACCCUUGAAUCAAAGAUUUCUAGUGCAAAGACUCAAUCAAUAAACAUAUUGUAAAGCCUUAAAUCUAGAUUUAAAAAAAAAAAAAAAAAAAAAAACCAGAAUGGAGAUUGAAAAGUAUGUAAUCAAAUCUUUUGAUUUCAAUCAAUUAUUGUAGAAUUCUCAAAGUGAAAUUAUGUUUUUCUCGUAUUGCUGUAAACAUUGGGUAAAUGUGAUUGAAUGAUAACUACCAGAUUUCAAGAAACCACAAAAAUAAGGAAUUCAAUACCUUGAAUGGUGAUUCAC
rnacentral:lncRNA from 1 species